GGGUGUGUCCCGACCUUAGUUAAACUCUGUGUAUUGUCUAGAGGCUUUGUAGACCUAAUGUACAAUCAAGGUGGUGUUUUGUUAAUAGACGUGAUGGCUCCAAUGACCAAGUAUUGUAUAUACAUAUAUAUGUGUGCUCGUGCUUAAAUAGGUGAUUAUUUCCUUUUAUAUGCGACAUGAUGUUGUCCGAAUUUUGGGUUGUCAUAGAGGUAUGCAUGGGAAGUAUAAGGUUAUGAGCUGGUUCUCCCGGG
rnacentral:lncRNA from 1 species